UCCACCGUGCGCACGCAGCCCGUGUCCUCGCCGUGACCGGGGCACGCCUGGCACACACAGCCACAGGUUGGCGUGUCCGAGAAGCGCGCACCAGCUCGACCUCACGACCUCCUGCCCAGCGGCCACGGCGCCCUCCGGAAGCUCAGAUGCUAUGAUCAGAGAUAUAGGAGCUAACUGUGACUAUGAACUAUGAAAAUGAAACCCCGAAACUAAAGAUGACAGAAUAGAAAGGGUUCUUGUGUCCUGGAGUCCAAGAGUUAAUCUCACUGACACAGAAGGGUGAAGUGAUAGUUUAUUAGGUGAAGAUGAGAAAUGAAAGAAAGAUCUCUGGAGUCAGAGGGGUUCCUUCAUGGUCGCCAAAUGAGGUAGUUUUGGGAUGUUGGUGAGGACUGGAGCUGACAGCCAAGAAAGAAUUCUUGGGUU